rnacentral:rRNA from 1 species
AUUACCGAGUUUACAACUCCCAAACCCCUGUGAACAUACCUUUAAUGUUGCCUCGGCGGAUCAGCCCGCGCCCCGUAAAACGGGACGGCCCGCCAGAGGACCCAAACUCUAAUGUUUCUUAUUGUAACUUCUGAGUAAAACAAACAAAUAAAUCAAAACUUUCAACAACGGAUCUCUUGGUUCUGGCAUCGAUGAAGAACGCAGCAAAAUGCGAUAAGUAAUGUGAAUUGCAGAAUUCAGUGAAUCAUCGAAUCUUUGAACGCACAUUGCGCCCGCUGGUAUUCCGGCGGGCAUGCCUGUUCGAGCGUCAUUUCAACCCUCAAGCCCCCGGGUUUGGUGUUGGGGAUCGGCUCUGCCCUUCUGGGCGGUGCCGCCCCCGAAAUACAUUGGCGGUCUCGCUGCAGCCUCCAUUGCGUAGUAGCUAACACCUCGCAACUGGAACGCGGCGCGGCCAUGCCGUAAAACCCCAACUUCUGAAUGUUGACCUCGGAUCAGGUAGGAAUACCCGCUGAACUUAAGCAUAUCAAUAAGCGGAGGAA